CCUUCCCUAAGUUCUCCCAGGGCGCUGCCAGAGCCCUGCCGGCUAAGGGAUGGGGAAACAAACAGGUGGGGCUGUAAUCUCGUAAUUCCCAGUCAAAAGAGGUAGGAAGGGAUGCUGAGGACCCAGGGAUACUGAUGAUUGGGCUGACCCAGAAGUGGCCAUCUUUGUGGAAACCAGGCUGGAGUGCAAUGGUGUGAUCUCAGCUCACUGCAACCUCCACCUCCAGGGUUCAAGCAAUUCUACUGCCUCAGCCUCCCGAGUAGCUGGCAUUACAGGCGCAUGCAACCACGCCCAGCUAAUUUUUUGCAUUUUUAGUAGAGACGGGGUUUCACCGUGUUGGCUAGGCUGGUCUCAAACUCCUGAUCUCAGGUCAUCUGCCUGCCUCAGCCUCCCAAAGUGCUGCAAUCACAGGCAUGAGCCACCUGGCCUGUUUUUUAAAAAGCCUAAGCCUGUUGACCCCAGGCUCCACAAUCUUCAAUUUUCCGAGUCUCAGUUUUUUUUUCAUGAGUAAAAUAGAGGUAAUACCUACCUCACAGAGAUUUUGUGAAGAUUAAAUGAAACAGUGUCUGGACCAUAAGUGCCCAAUAUAAAGUCAUCCAGAGUAAAGUCAUAGGGCUCAAAGUCUUUCCGGAAGCGGCGAGCCAGGGUCUCCUCGUCUUCCUUGCUGAUCUGACACUGCCUCCAGUCAGACUUAUCAGGAACAUUAAGGAUGGCUUCACUGGCCAGGACCUCCCUGCAGAAAUAGCACAAAGAAGUCAAAAUGGAAACUAUCAGCCUGAGCUCUCCUCAACAUCACCCAAAGGAGGGGACUCAGGCCCACGUAACAGCAGCACAAGCCCAAUGUCAACAAAACAACUAUCUUGGCUCUUAGGACUAAAGAAUAACUACAUACAGACACACUCACACACAAGCUGCCUUCUAAUCGCCAUUGCUUUAUAUUUUUAUUUUUACUUAUUUUGAUAUAUUAGAAAUAAUUCUAUUACACAUUUAUAUGGUUCAUUUUCCACUUUGAAGUUACAGUAAAUAGAAGAGUUAGAAACAAAUCAUGAAUUCUCUAUAAGUCAAAGAACCUAAGCUCCCUGGGCAAACUUUGAGCCUAUUUCAAAUAUAAAAGGAAAAUAGAACUACCUUUCUUGUACAGCUGAAAAAAAUAUGCCAUUUCAAAUAUUUUGUUAACUAUAAAAUGCUAUAUAACUAUAAAUUAGUAUCUUGAUAAUUACUCAAUAUUGAAAAUACAUCAUAAGCACAAAACCAUUCAGAGAAUCUUCUUUUUGUGUGCUUUAUACGCCUAUGUGUAUCUGCAAUCGUGUGCUUAUGUUGUCAAUGUUCAUAACCGCAUCUGUUGCUGAGGCAACAACGAAAACAUCACGUCAGAUGUCUGAAUCUCGUAGCACACUUGUUCCCAUUUAUCUUUUUGAAAAAUGUAGACAACUACAUUUACUGGACUUAUCUAAGGGGGCAAUCUCUUGGAGGCUUUCUGAAUUAGUCCAAGACAGGUUCAAGGCUCACUCAAAGCCCAUUUUUAACUAGGGGAGAAAAAACAGCUGCAAAUCACAGACACCAGCAUCAGAUACUCUGUUCUACACAUUUUCCACUCCCCUUCAAACUGUAUCUUCUUGCCAGCAACUUCCCAUCUUCAAUCUUUGCUUAAGUUAUGUUACUCCCUCUAUGGUUUUGCAGUCAUGUUUUGCCUGAUACGAGGAACAGAACUGAAGCCUCCUCUAGGCCUUUACCAUACUGUAGAACACUGAGGUUAAGACCUCAAGUUUUGAGGUCCAACAGGCCUGGGUUUGAACCUACCACUGUGUGACUAGGACAAGCUACCUAAGCUCUCUACAGCCUGCUAUCCAGUGGGGUAACCAUUAGCCAGGUAUGGCUAUUUAAAUUUAAAUUCUAAUUAAUUAAAUAAAAUCAAAAAUUUAGUUCCUCA